CCUGAUCCUGUUCCAGCCCCUCCUGCCUGCCGCCAUUACAGGUGCAGCUCUGAGUGAUUCCAGGAAACAGCUCACCUGUGUUGAAGCUUUUUUCUCUGCUGCCGUCAUCAACACUUUGGACGCUUUGAGGAAACUGUGUUGAGUGAGAGUCUUCUUCAUCAACAGUUUGGACGCUUUGAAGAAACAUGUUGGACUCCUUGAGUUAUGACUUGUGGAAGGACUGAGCCUGAACCUGGACCUGCUGUGUGUCCAUCAAGAGAGGCCGGUCAAAGAAUGCUUUAAUUGAGUCUAAACGGACGACGUGGAUCUGACAGACACUGCUAGUUUCUCCAGCAGCUUCUGAGUCUGAAGACUGAAAACUAUAUAACAGACCAGUCUGCUGAACCUGAACCUGGAUUCAGCUGUGUGUCCAAGAGAGACCGGUCAAAGGAACGCCUCG